CGGAUCACGAGGUCAGGAGAUUGAGACCAGCCUGACCUACAAGAUGAGGGAAUUGCAGCUAGUUGGAUUAAGAAGUGUUUCCCAGUCACACAGGUAGUAAGACAUGUACUCAGACAACUGCCAAGUAAGGCUUCCCUAUGACAAAUAAGUCUGGCUUCACUUUCAAUGCAAAUAAUCAUGUGAACCUGAGACCACCAGCUAACAUCUGAAUUCUGAUUCUGAGGUGGAUGGAUGGAUGCAGCCCAUAGGACAAAUGCAGUGAAUUCCUACGCCUGUAUACUCUCACGAGGGUUAAAGCUUCUCUUCUGGGUUCUAUCAUGGCUCUCAUCUUGCUGGAUCAAGGGUGGUCUUCCUGUGUCCCCAUGCUGGAGAAUUGUGACUUUGGGCUCAAUAUCUGUAGCAUCUAGCACAGCGUCUUUCCCAUCAUAAUAAGAUCGGUGGUAAUUUCCAUUUA